rnacentral:rRNA from 1 species
UAGGGAAUCUUGCACAAUGGGGGAAACCCUGAUGCAGCGACGCCGCGUGAGUGAUGACGGACUUCGGUCUGUAAAGCUCUGUUGCAGAGGAAUAAGUACUGAAGGUACUCUGCGAGGAAGGGUCGGCUAACUUCGUGCCAGCAGCCGCGGUAAGACGAGGGACCCUAGCGUUGUUCGGAAUCAUUGGGCGUAAAGCGGGUGUAGGCGACUAUUCAAGUCGAAUGUGAAAGCCUUGGGCUCAACCCAAGAAGUGCGUUCGAUACUGUUUAGUUUGAGUGUUGGAGAGGUUACCGGAAUUCAUGGUGUAGUGGUGAAAUACGUAGAUAUCAUGAGGAACAUCGGAGGCGAAGGCGGGUAACUGGCCAAACACUGACGCUGAGACCCGAAAGCGUGGGGAUCA